GUCUCCUACGGGACGCAGCAGUGGGGAAUAUUGCACAAUGGGGGAAACCCUGAUGCAGCGACGCCGCGUGAGUGAGGAAGUAUUUCGGUAUGUAAAGCUCUAUCCGCCGGGAAGAAAAUGACGGUACCUGACUAAGAAGCCCCGGCUAACUACGUGCCCGCAGCCGCGGUAAUACGUAGGGGGCAAGCGUUAUCCGGAUUUACUGGGUGUAAAGGGAGCGUAGACGGAGGAGCCAGUCUGAUGU
rnacentral:rRNA from 1 species